AAUGCACACAAAACCCAAAGAACAUUAUUUUCAUCUAAUAACGUUCUUGCCUGGUGUGCAAAGAGAAAAUAUGUACCUUGUCGCCUUUCUUAUGCUGCUGUGCUACUGAAAGUGAAUUCAAGGUUCAACACUG